rfam:Colletotrichum sublineola strain TX430BB Scaffolds0365.1, whole genome shotgun sequence.
GCGGACAUAGCUCAGUUGGGAGAGCGUCAGACUGAAGUCAACUUCAAUCACUUAAUCUGAAGGUCGUGUGUUCAAUCCACACUGGCCGCA